AUUGAACGCUGGCGGCAGGCCUAACACAUGCAAGUCGAACGGCAGCGGGGAGUAGCUUGCUACUCUCCCGGCGAGUGGCGGACGGGUGAGUAAUGCCUGGGGAGCUGCCCAAUCGAGGGGGAUACCAGUUGGAAACGACUGCUAAUACCGCAUACGCCCUGAGGGGGAAAGGUGGGGAUCUUCGGACCUAUCGCGAUUGGAUGCACCCAGGUGGGAUUAGCUAGUUGGUGAGGUAACGGCUCACCAAGGCUCCGAUCCUUAGCUGUUCUGAGAGGAAGAUCAGCCACACUGGGACUGAGACACGGCCCAGACUCCUACGGGAGGCAGCAGUUGGGAAUCUUGGACAAUGGGGGAAACCCUGAUCCAGCCAUGCCGCGUGAGUGAUGAAGGCCUCGGUGUAAAACUCUUUCGUACGGGACGAUAAUGACGGUA
rnacentral:rRNA from 1 species